rnacentral:rRNA from 1 species
AUUGAACGCUGGCGGCAGGCUUAACACAUGCAAGUCGAGCGAGCGGCGGACGGGUGAGUAAUGUCUGGGAAACUGCCUGAUGGAGGGGUAUAACUACUGGAAACGGUAGCUAAUACUGCAUACCAUCAGAUGUGCCCAGAUUGGAUAAGCUAGUAGGUGGGGUAAUGGCUCACCAAGGCGACGAGCCCUAGCUGGUCCGAGAGGAUGACCAGCCACACUGGGACGGAGCCACGGUCCAGACUCCUACGGGAGGCAGCAGUGGGGAAUAUUGCACAAUGGGCGCAAGCCUGAUGCAGCCAUGCCGCGUGUGUGAAGAAGGCCUUCGGGUUGUAAAGCACUUUCAGCGAGGAGGCGUUACCCGAAGAGGAAGCACCGGCUAACUACGUGCCAGCAGCCGCGGUAAUAC